CCAUGCAGUCGAACGAUGAUGCUCCAGCUUGCUGGGGUGGAUUAGUGGCGAACGGGUGAGUAACACGUGGGUGAUCUGCCCUGCACUUCGGGAUAAGCCUGGGAAACUGGGUCUAAUACCGGAUAUGACCUUCUCCUUGGUUGGGGUUGGUGGAAAGCUUUUGCGGUGUGGGAUGAGCCUGCGGCCUAUCAGCUUGUUGGUGGGGUAAUGGCCUACCAAGGCGUCGACGGGUAGCCGGCCUGAGAGGGUGUACGGCCACAUUGGGACUGAGACACGGCCCAGACUCCUACGGGAGGCAGCAGUGGGGAAUAUUGCACAAUGGGCGCAAGCCUGAUGCAGCGACGCCGCGUGGGGGAUGAAGGCCUUCGGGUUGUAAACUCCUUUCGCCAGGGACGAAGCUUUUGUGACGGUACCUGGAGAAGAAGCACCGGCUAACUACGUGCCAGCAGCCGCGGUAAUACGUAGGGUGCGAGCGUUGUCCGGAUUUACUGGGCGUAAAGAGCUCGUAGGUGGUUUGUCGCGUCGUCUGUGAAAUCCCGGGGCUCAACUCCGGGCGUGCAGGCGAUACGGGCAUAACUUGAGUGCUGUAGGGGAGACUGGAAUUCCUGGUGUAGCGGUGAAAUGCGCAGAUAUCAGGAGGAACACCAAUGGCGAAGGCAGGUCUCUGGGCAGUAACUGACGCUGAGGAGCGAAAGCAUGGGUAGCGAACAGGAUGAGAUACCCUGGUAGUCCAUGCCGUAAACGGUGGGCGCUAGGUGUAGGGGAGUUCCACGUCUUCUGUGCCGCAGCUAACGCAUUAA
rnacentral:rRNA from 1 species